GAAGUUAGCCAAGACAGUCGCCGCUUAGUAAUAAGGGGAGGAAAGUCCGGGCUGCACAGAGCAGGAUGACGGCUAACGGCCGUACGCCGCGAGGCGAGGAAUAGGGCCACAGAGACGAGCGUAUUUAGUUACGGUGAAACGCGGCAACCUCCAUCUGCAGCAAGACCAAAUAGACUGGCAAUAGGCGUGGCUCGCGCUGCCAGUGGGUAGGUUGCUCGAGCGUGUGAGUAAUUACGCGCCUAGAUGAAUGACUGUCCUUGUAGCAAUACAAGACAAAACCCGGCUUAUCGGCUGACUUCACAU
rnacentral:RNase_P_RNA from 1 species